GCUCACGCAAAUAAUGUUGUUCACGACACACGCGUUGUUAUCGUGGUCACGUCAGAUAGCAUUGUCCUACAAAACGCUAAAGCUUAUUAAACAACUUUACACAGGACAAAUGGUAUCGUGUUUAUCCGUUGAAUCAAAACAGAAGACGGUUAUUUGUUAAGGCUUAACGAAAAAAAAAAAGGUCGCGCGAAGAUUGUGUACGAUUAUAGCUAGUAGCUAACGUUAGCUAGGUUACGAAGCCAAAUAUCUGCAUAAAGUUACUGCAUGAAGUUACUUAACAGGGACAACAUGUCUAGCCUUAACAGUCGCAAUAUUUUCGAGAAAGAAACAACGUCGAUUAUGACUUUUAUCGUUGAGACGGCAGUAGCAGAAAUUAGCCAACUGUUUUUGGACAACGAAUCAAUCGCGGCGCCAAUACCAAGUAACCUGGGAAAAAAGAAACAGGUUGGCACCAUUAUGCACCUUUUGACAAAGGAGGCUGUUCGUAAAAUCUGUAGACUAUUCCUAGAAGUCUCUGCGGCUUUACAAAAUGAAAAUGAGAAGCUGAAGAUCAAGGUGGAGCAGAUGGAUAAAGAUCUGAAGGCGAUGGUUGAGAAGGGUGAGGGGCGAGAAGAACCGAAAAGACCAACCCAUAUUCUGCACAAUGGAACGAUCUUUAAAAUUAAGCCAGUUGAUCUCCCAAUGAUGCCUGUUAACAAUGUGAAGACAAACACAGUGGCCUCAGCAUUGCUCAGCAUGGGAGAUGUCAGUCAAGUAAACACUGUCAUCGUACAGGAAGAGACUACUGCGAGAAAUACAGGCUCUAGCACCGACCCUGUGAAGGAGAGGAGUGAGGUGAAAUCAGGAACUAAAACGUCAGUCAUUGAAGGAACAGUGGGUUAACUGCCUGUUCAGGGGAUGAACGACAGAUUUGUACCUUGUCAGCUCGGGGAUUCGAACUUGCAACCUUUCGGUUAC
ensembl:lncRNA